AAAUCUCUCAACUAAUGCUGUAAACUACACAUGAGAGUCAGCUGGUGCUACUAUAAUAAUACUGAAGGUUAAAUUAACUUAUUUAUAUACAAACACUUAAAUUACACUCAAUGAUGUUUUUAUUAGAAAUAAAGUUUAGAAUUACAUAAUCAUAUUUCUACUCCAAUUCGUUUUUU